rnacentral:rRNA from 1 species
CCUACGGGUGGCAGCAGUGAGGAAUAUUGGUCAAUGGGCGCGAGCCUGAACCAGCCAAGUAGCGUGAAGGAUGACUGCCCUACGGGUUGUAAACAUCUUUUAUAAAGGGAUAAAGUGUGGCAUGAGUGCCUUUUUGUAUUUACUUUAUGAAUAGGGAUCGGCUAACUCCGUGCCAGCAGCUGCGGUAAUACGGAGGAUGCGAGCGUUAGGCGGAUUUAUUGGGUUUAAAGGGAGCGUAGAUGGGUCGUUAAGUCAGUUGUGAAAGUUUGGGGCUCAACCGGAAAAUUGCAAUUGAUACUGGCAGCCUUGAGUACAGUAGAGGUAGGCAGAAUUCGUGGUGUAGCGGUGAAAUGCUUAGAGAUCACGAAGAAGUCCGAUUGCGAAGGCAGCCUACUAGACUGCCACUGACAUUGAUGCUCGAAAGUGUGGGUAUCAAACAGGAUUAGAUACCCGAGUAGUC